rnacentral:rRNA from 1 species
AACGAACGCUGGCGGCAUGCCUAACACAUGCAAGUCGAACGAAGCCUUCGGGCUUAGUGGCGCACGGGUGCGUAACGCGUGGGAAUCUGCCCUUAGGUACGGAAUAACUCAGGGAAACUUGUGCUAAUACCGUAUGAUGUCGAAAGACCAAAGAUUUAUCGCCUAGGGAUGAGCCCGCGUUGGAUUAGCUAGUUGGUGAGGUAAAGGCUCACCAAGGCGACGAUCCAUAGCUGGUCUGAGAGGAUGAUCAGCCACACUGGGACUGAGACACGGCCCAGACUCCUACGGGAGGCAGCAGUGGGGAAUAUUGGACAAUGGGCGAAAGCCUGAUCCAGCAAUGCCGCGUGAGUGAAGAAGGCCUUCGGGUUGUAAAGCUCUUUUACCCGGGAAGAUAAUGACUGUACCGGGAGAAUAAGCCCCGGCUAACUCCGUGCCAGCCGCCGCAGUAACAC